rnacentral:rRNA from 1 species
AGUGAACGCUGGCGGUAGGCCUAACACAUGCAAGUCGAACGGCAGCACAGUAAGAGCUUGCUCUUACGGGUGGCGAGUGGCGGACGGGUGAGGAAUACAUCGGAAUCUACUUUUUCGUGGGGGAUAACGUAGGGAAACUUACGCUAAUACCGCAUACGACCUACGGGUGAAAGCAGGGGAUCUUCGGACCUUGCGCGAUUGAAUGAGCCGAUGUCGGAGUAGCUAGUUGGCGGGGUAAAGGCCCACCAAGGCGACGAUCCGUGGCUGGUCUGAGAGGAUGAUCAGCCACACUGGAACUGAGACACGGUCCAGACUCCUACGGGAGGCAGCAGUGGGGAAUAUUGGACAAUGGGCGCAAGCCUGAUCCAGCCAUACCGCGUGGGUGAAGAAGGCCUUCGGGUUGUAAAGCCCUUUUGUUGGGAAAGAAAAGCAGCAGGUUAAUACCCCGCUGUUCUGACGGUACCCAAAGAAUAAGCACCGGCUAACUUCGUG